UGGGAAACGACAGCAGAUGGUGGAUGAGGCGGCGCUGCUGUAGGUGAACAAAGGUAGCAUGGCGAGGGCGCGGGCCUGGGCGCUCGCCUUCUUCAUCGCCUGGGCGGCGACGCUCACCCGGGCCUACCUCAUCCUCGUGCCCGACACCGCGCCACCUGGUCAUCUCGUGCUCGACGCGGCUGUCUACAAGCUUGGAUCCGAACGCACAUAUACUAUAGAUGUACAUCGCACCGCAAACUUCGUCCAUCAUGUCCUCCGAGUGAAUAGGACAUCGGGUCUCGUCACCCUUAGGAAAAGACUACGGUGCGAUGGAGUCCUCUAUCCCAAUCUCUUCACUUUUUACGUCGACUCGACUUCAGAACGAAUACGCGAUAUAGAUUACUAUAGCCUUCCUAUAAGAAUACUAGUUACGGGAGAAGACUGCAGUAGAAGACACGCUGAUCUCUAUGACAUCGACUUCGAUCGGGUCUAUGACCAAGAUGAUGCCGCCUUACAAUACGAGGAUGAUCAUACCAGAGACAAACGUGAGACUCACUAUUACAAACCAGAGAUUAUGGAUUGGAGGUUAAUAGAAGAGGAAGAAGAAUUACUUUCUAGUCAAUAUAAAGUGCUAUCGACAGCGUAUCCGUGGACGAGCGCCGUUUUCGAGGACUUUGCAGCGAGGAAUAGAAGUAGAAAUAAAAGAUCUCUGCCAUUACCUUUCGAUAUGGCCAUAGAUGUUAAGAUAGCUGAGGCUAAGCAAUGGAUCUCCGAAACGUAUGCCAGUUUCUCGAUACCAACUACGGAUCGGUGGCAGGGAAUAUGUCUUAAGCAAUCUCAAUUUAUAAAUUCUUUAACAGCAUUCCUCCCGCGAACUGUGCAAAAAUUUUGUAAAGUUCAAUUUCUGGAUGUUAGCGACCCUAGGUUCUUGAUCGAAAGCAGUCAGGGUGAUCUUGUAGCGAGUAGCGAUAUGUGCAUACAAGAGCCAAUGUGGAAGGUCUCUGUCUUAUUCACUUUCAACUGUGACAAAUCGAACAUCGUAGACUCCGACCACAGAUUGAAAAUAGUUUACCAUCAUCAGGAACUAAACGAUACAGAUAUAGCUCGUAGAGUAAAGAGAGAACUAAGAAACCAGUCUCCUUACUUCGAGCAAGCUCUCUACGUGGCUUCUGUUGCUGAGGAACAGCCACCAGGAGUCGUUGUUUCAACUGUCAGAGCUCGGGACCCUGAGAAUAGCCCAGUUACGUAUUCAAUGUCAAGCUUGUUGGACUCUCGCUCGGCGGGCAUGUUCGCGGUAGACACCAGGUCGGGCGUGGUGACAACGCAAGCGAGGCUUGACAGAGAGAGGCUGGACGUGCACUACUUCAGAGUGGUCGCGCAAGAUGAUACCUUCCCACCUAGAAGUGGCACUACUACAUUACAGAUAAACGUAUUGGACUGUAACGACCACGCGCCAGUGUUCGAAAUGCAGCAGUACGAGGCGUCAGUACGCGAGGGCGCCAGCGCCGGCACCACCGUCCUCACGCUUAAAGCCACCGACCAGGAUAUCGGCAAUAACGCACAGGUUGAAUAUACAAUAGACUCAGUAUCAGCGGACAGUCUCAAUCCGGAAGAAAUGAAUGAAUCUAUGGAAGGUGAUAACGAACAAGCUAGUACACCAGACGUGUUCCGAGUGGAUGGCAGGAGCGGCGCACUACUCACGAGGGCGCCUCUCGACAGGGAAAAAGUCUCCAGAUAUACCGUUAUUGUAAAAGCAACGGAUCAAGCAAGCCCUGUAUCCGAUAGGCUCUCCAGCAGUGCUACAAUCCACGUGAACAUAAUAGACGACAACGACAACUACCCUCAGUUCAGCGAGAAGACGUACACUGUCACUGUCGACGAGGAUAUCAGCGUCUCCGAAAAUCCAAUCAUAGCCAAGAUCAAGGCAAGUGAUGCAGACGUAGGAGCCAAUGCUGCGAUUCGCUACGCUAUUAUCGGCGGUAAUACCCAGAUGCAGUUCUCAAUUGACAGCCUCAGCGGAGAUGUGGCGCUAGUCAAACCUCUAGACUAUGAACAAGUUCGCAACUAUCGUCUAGUGAUAAGGGCACAAGAUGGCGGCAGUCCGUCGCGGUCAAACACAACACAGCUGCUGGUAAACGUGAAGGAUGUCAACGACAACGCGCCAAGGUUCUACACCUCACUGUUCCAGGAGUCCGUCAGCGAGAACGUGCCCGUCGGGUAUAGCAUUGUCAGGGUGCAAGCUUACGACGCGGACGAAGGUGUGAACGCCGAGCUGACAUAUACUCUAGCUGACAAAGAGUACAUCGGCAACAACGACCUGCCGAUCACCAUAGACCCACGCUCCGGCUGGGUUUACACUUCCGCACAGCUUGAUAGAGAAGUUCAACCUAAAUACCAACUGCAGGUAACAGCAACAGACGGCGGAGUGCCACCACGUUCAGCCACAGCGUCAGUAGUAGUUGUGGUGCAGGACGUUAACGAUAACGACCCGGUCUUCUCACCGCCGCAGUACGAAGUAGAACUGGCGGAAGAUGAACCUCCUGGUACUCCUGUUGUCACUGUCACCGCAACUGAUGCUGAUGAGGAUAACAGGUUGCAUUAUGAGAUCACUGGUGGAAACACACGAGGCCGUUUCUCGAUCACAUCUCAGAACGGUCGUGGUUUGAUCACGGUCGCUCAGCCGCUGGACUUUAAGCAAGAGAGACGCUAUGUCCUCACCGUCACCGCGACUGACCCCGGAGGCCGCGCUGAUACCGCCAUGGUUCAUAUCAACAUCACUGAUGCUAAUAACUACGCACCGGUCUUCGAAAAUGCGCCCUACACUGCUUCCGUAUUCGAGGACGCGCCAGUUGGUACAACAGUACUCGUUGUGUCGGCGACAGACAGCGACGUUGGCGUGAACGCGCAGAUCACGUACAGCCUCAGCUCGGAAAUCUCCAAUGAGGCGGUAGCACACCAUGACCGAGAGUUCCUCAUCAACCCUCACACCGGUGCUAUAACAACGAACAAGUUGCUCGACAGGGAGUCGAUGAGCGGGUAUCUUCUGACUGUAACCGCUCGCGAUGGCGGUGUUCCGUCUCUUUCUGACACAACGGAUGUCGAGAUAUCAGUUGUAGAUGUCAACGACAACGCGCCAGUGUUUAAACAACAAUUGUACACAUCCAGCAUUAUGGAGGAUGCUCUAGUUGGUACGUCAGUGACGCAGGUGAGCGCGUCAGACGCGGACGUGGGUCUGAAUGGGCGUGUGCACUACGAACUAGCGGCCCGAGAACGCGAGGAGGGCUCCUUCGCACUGGACGCGGCGUCCGGCGUAUUGCGUACUAAUAAGCCACUCGACAGAGAGUCUGUUGCUAUCUACGACCUUAAAGCUCUUGCGAUUGAUGGCGGCACCCCGCCUCAGAGCUCCAGUGUGAUAAUCCACAUUAAAGUAGAAGACAUAAAUGAUUCGCCCCCGGUAUUUGAAAGUGACUGUCUGACAUUUUACAUACCAGAGAAUAGUCCUAUAGGGACCACUGUUGGAGAAAUACGCGCCCAUGAUCCAGACGAAGGAGCAAACGCUGUCAUACAUUACUCUAUCAAAGGUGGUGACGAUUCAAACAGUUUCUCGUUAGAAACACGUCAAGGAUCCGAUAAAGCAGAGCUAGUAACGAUGGUGGAUUUAGAUUAUGAAAGUCCGAGGAAGAAAUAUGAGUUGGUAAUUCGAGCUGCCAGUCCUCCUUUAUGGAAUGACGUCAGAGUGGAAGUGUUAGUUACCGAUGUGAACGACAACGCACCAAUGAUGAAGGAUUUUCAAAUUAUUUUCAACAACUUUAAGGACUGUUUUCCUGUGGGACCCUUUGGUAGAGUGCCCGCUUACGAUGCUGAUGUCUCUGAUAAGCUUCAAUAUCGAAUUCUGUCCGGUAACAAUGCAAAUCUUGUUCUUUUAAAUGAAACGUCCGGCGCCAUGACACUAUCACCGCAACUUAAUACCAACGUCCCCAAAUUAGCAACAAUGGAGAUAUCAGUUACAGAUGGCGUGAAUGAAAUAAAAGCAAUGAUGCAGCUGUCAGUGCGGCUGAUAACGGAGGAAAUGCUGUUUAACUCGAUCACGGUGCGACUGAACGACAUGACGGCGGAGCAGUUCCUAUCGCCACUACUCGGCUUCUUCAUCGACGGUUUGGCGGCCAUCGUACCAUGCCCAAAAGAGAAUAUCUAUGUGUUCAGUGUGCAGGACGAUACCGACGUGACCGGCAACAUCCUGAACGUGUCAUUCUCUGCGCGGCGACCGGAGGCAGAGUUGUCUGCGGGGGGCGCGGGAGGUGACGCGCAGUUCUACUCGCCCACGCACCUGCGCGAGAGACUAUAUCUGAACCGCGCCACACUCGCUAGACUGGCCACAGUACAGGUGUUACCAUUCGACGACAACGUGUGCAUCCAUGAGCCGUGCCUCAACUUCGAGGAGUGUCUCACUGUGCUCAAGUUCGGCAACGCUACCGGCUUCAUCAACAGUGACAGUGUAUUGUUUCGACCCAUAUAUCCUGUCACUACAUUCACUUGUCAAUGUCCACAAGGAUUUACGGGUCUUAGAGAACACUUCCUGUGCGACACAGAAGUAGAUUUGUGUUAUUCAUCGCCGUGUGUCAACAACGGCACAUGUAUACGUCGCGAGGGAGGAUACACAUGUGUGUGUGCAGCUGGUUUUACUGGAACGAAUUGCGAGACAGUACUAACGAAAGCGACGUGCGACUUGAAUGGUGACGGAACAAUCUGCCGCAGCGGGUCGCAGUGCGUUGCGCGCAGAGAGGGAGGAAUCUUGUGUCAGGGGUGUACCAUAGACGCGGAGUACACUACCGCCAUGUGUGAAUUAAGAGCUCGUAGUUUCCCGGCUUCCUCAUUUCUAACGUUUGCUGGUUUGAAAAGAAGGCACAGGUUUAACUUUAAAUUGAAAUUCGCGACCACGUCUCCAUCUGGCUUGCUUAUGUACAACGGUCGUUACAACGAGCGUCAUGACUUCGUUGCUCUGGAGACGGUGGCGAGUGACGCUGGCAAGGGGGGCGGGGAGGGGCUACGCUUCUCUUUCGCCCUCGGCGGGGCUAAGACUGAAGUAACGGUGGCUGCGCACGUGGCUGACGGCGCCUGGCACACAGUCGAGAUACAGUAUUAUAACAGGACUGCAACUAUGAUACUUGAUAAUUGUGACAAAGAUUUAUCCUUGGCGGGAGCUAACGAAUUCGGAAUUAAAUACGCAUGCGCAAACUUCACAAGGAAGGAAUUGCCACCGCGUUGCGAUAUUCCCACUGAAACUUGCCAUAGGCAUUUACGUAAUCGCAGAUUUCUUGAUUUGACCGGACCUCUACAAAUUGGCGGCCUGCCGAACAUCCCUACGAGCUUCCAAGUCAAGAACAAAGAUUUUGUUGGUUGCAUAUCUGAUGUGUACAUCGACCAUAAGUUUCUUGACCUUAAUAGCUACGUGUCAGACAACGGCACACUAGCUGGUUGCCCUCAGAAGCGAUCGCGAUGCAGCUCUACGCCGUGCCACCGCGCCGCCAACUGCACCGACCUCUGGGACUCCUUCCUCUGCGACUGCCCUGAGGGGUACUCAGGACAUGACUGCUCUGAGACGACCUCUCCGCCAUGGCGAUUCAGCGGCGACGGCAUGCUGUCGUUCAACCCGCUGUUGCGGCCCAUCCAGUUGCCGUGGCUGAACGCGCUCAGUCUGCGCACGCGACAGCGCGACUCCUUCCUUAUGUCCGUGCAAAUCGGACAGAACAGCAGCGUAUUUAUUAGUCUUAAAUCAGGACUCCUGCAUUACUCGUAUAACGGAGAAACAAUGUUCCUACCAUCGACCAACCUCGCAGACGGCAAUUGGCAUAGAGUAGAGAUUAAAUGGCUUGGGACAGAUAUAUCGGUUGUUAUCGACUACGGCCUGAAGAGUGCGCUGCUACCGAUGUUGGCGAAUAAAAUACAAGGACAGUACAUCGGAAAGAUCCUUAUUGGUGGUCCUGACACUACAGCGGGCUUGUUGGCCUCAGAAGUUGGAUAUUUUGAAGGAUGUAUACAAGACGUUCGAGUGGGCACAGCGCAGUCUCUACUCAACCGGCCAACAGUCAGAGAGAAUGUUCGAGACGGAUGUCAGUCGAAGGCAGAUUGCUUGCUUUCAAUCUGUCCACCCUAUAGUAAAUGUGAGUCAGAGUGGGAUAGUACGGAGUGCGUGUGCGAGCGCGGACGCGUGGGGCCGCAAUGCGUGGCGGCGUGCGAGCUGCGCCCGUGCGGCCCGCAUGCCGUCUGCGUGCCAGAAGACACACAGAAAGGUUACAGCUGCAAGUGCGCUGAAGGAUACAUUAUGACAGGGGAGGGUUGCAUGGAGCAUCACGAGGAGGAGUGUCCGGGCGGCUGGUGGGGCGUGACGGGCUGCGGACCGUGCGAUUGCGACGCGGCGCGCGGAUACCACCCGCACUGCGCUGCUAAAGACGGCCGCUGUCGAUGCAAGGAGAACCACUACAAGUCUCCGGAGGGCGAGGAGUGCGUGGCGUGCCACUGCUACGCGGCGGGCUCUCUCAACAGUUCUUGCGAGGAUACCAGUGGACAGUGCCACUGUCGCAGCGGCGUUAUCGGCCGCGCCUGCGACUCCUGUUCCAACCUCUAUGCAGAGGUCACACCUAACGCUGGAUGUAAAGUUAUUUAUGACGGAUGUCCACGAUCGUUUUCAAACGGCGUUUGGUGGCCACGGACCAAAUUCGGAGUCGAAGCUAUCACUGAUUGCCCAACAGGCUCCAGCGGCAGAGCGACGCGAAUGUGUGACGAGGUGCAAGUGGUGCCGUGGCAGGAGCCAGACAUGUUCAACUGUACCACUGAAACAUUCUAUCAGCUUCGCAAGCAGCUGCACAAGAUCGAGACGGGCGAGUUAACAGUAAACACAUUCGUGGGAGUUCGUCUCGCGGAGGAGGUGUGGUCUGCGUGCGCGCGCACCGCGCGGCUGUUCGGCGCCGAUGUGCUGGUGGCGGAGGGCAUCCUGCUGGAGCUACUGCGCCACGAGCUACGCCAGGCUGGACUCAACCUUACACACAGCCAGGAUAAGGAUUACGUUCGGAACAUAAUCAAAUCAGCAAACACAAUCCUGAACAUUGAGUAUGAUAAAGAAUGGCAACGCAUUAGGAAACUGACCGGACACGGCGUCGAACAUUUGCUGCAAAAGUUUGACAAAUAUAUAGCAGUGCUCGCCGAGAGUCAGCACGAUACUUAUACAAGCCCAUUUGAAAUUGUCACCAGUGAUUUGGUUAUCGGGGUGGAUAUUGUAACAGCAGAAUCGAUAUACGGUUUCGAACCGACACAAUUGAAUCGUUAUAGCGGAGAAACUAUAACAACUGAGCGUGUGGUGCUACCAGACACUUCGGCAUUCAUACAUUCUCCCAUACAACCUGGUUACUAUAGCAACGGCAAAACAAAAACAAAGAAGCCAUUGAGUCCAACAGUUUCAUUCCCAAAAUAUAACAACUAUGUAAAGAAUAAAAACAAAUUCGAUAAAUAUUCAAGAGUACUGCUACCACUGGAUCUGCUUGGGAUUAAUAGCAAUACAGAAGAAAACAUGGUAUCAGGAUACGAGUCCCGUGCGGUAUUCGCAUACAUGCAGUACUCGCGCAACACAUCGCAGCUGCUGCCGCUGCGGACCGACGACUCUGUUAGCCGACGCUGGGGCAUCAACGUCACGCUCGGCUCUCCCGUGCUGCAGCUCGCCCUCUUCGUACCUGACCAGGUCUGGAGAAAGGAAGGCAGUGAAAACGAUAGCCUCGACAUGAAUGAUAUUGCAGGCGUUGUCUACGCCAAUAAAGGACAAAAUCAUCAAUCGCAAACAAACAACAUCGGAUCCAACUCUCAAUCAAGAAACCCUUGGUCGCAUUCAAACGAAGAUGACAACAACGAAAAUCACGGACCAAUUGUUAUUCAGCCAGCAUUCAAAAAACAAGACAAAGUUGAAGACACGGAAAUUUUAAAAGAAAACAAUUCUACAUACGGCACCGAAAAGGCAAUUAAAAUCGACAGCGACGGCUUGAAAGUUAUGGCUCUUGUUAUGGAACCCAACGAUAAAACCAAAGAUGGAAUUAAUUCUAGCAAAGAGGUAGACAAAAAGAAGCAGGUCUAUAAAAGCUUGAGCGGUAUUAGGUUAAAGAAACCAAUAAGAUUACAGAUAUGGUUAGAUAUAAAUAGAGAUACGUUUGGAUCAAGAACGAAUCCACAAUGCGUUCAUUGGUCGACGUUGAGAGGGUCUGGUGAAUGGUCCCGUGUUGGUUGUCACACUGAGAUAGACUACGACUGGUCACAAUACUCUGAUGAACCUCUGCGCAUUAACUGCACAUGCAAUCAUCUAUCGACGUUCGCAGUGUUGGUCGAUGAAGUUGAUAUUGAGUUGAUACCGGAGCCGUCUCUACUUGAGUCUGUAACGUCGUACACGGCGUUCAGUAUCUCGCUGCCACUGCUGCUAGUGACGUGGGCGGCGCUGUGCCUGAUGCGGGGCGGGGCAGCCACAGUUUCUAACUCCAUUCACAAGCAUCUCAUAUUCUGCGUCUUCAUGGCCGAGCUGUUAUAUCUCAUCGCGCUUAAAGCAAGGAAUUCUUUGGUGCAAAACGAGUUCGGUUGCAAGGUGAUAGCGAUGUCGCUGCACUACUGGUGGCUGGCGGCGCUGGGCUGGGCGGGGUGCGAGGCGUGGCAGCUGCGCCGGCUGCUGCGUGAGUUGCGCGACGUCAACCACGGCGGGCUGGCCGCGCCGCUCGCCGCCGCCUACGCCGCGCCCGCUGUCGCCCUCGCGCUCGCCGCAGCGCAUACCCCGCAUCAGUACGGCAACGCGCUGUUCUGCUGGGUGAGCUGCCACGAGCCGGUGGUGUGGUGGGUGGUGGUGCCGGCCGCGGUGUACGCCGCCGUUGCUGUGGUAUUCCUCGCGGGGGCCACGCGCGCCGCCUUCACCGUUAGGGACCACGUUACCGGAUUCGGGAAUUUACGGAUGCUGCUCGCCAUCAGUAUAAUAUGCCUACCGCUGCUGUGCGUGUCGUGGGCGAGCGCGCUGGUGCUGGGCAGCGAGGCGGGCGAGCGCCGCAACGCGCUCAGCUCGCUGCUGGCGGCCGCGGUCACGCUGCACGCCGCCGCCGCCGCGCUCGGACACGUGCUGCUCAACGUGCGCGUGCGGGACAACCUGCGCAGGACUGUUCUCAGAUGCUUGGGCAAGAAGGUUCCACUCGCGGAUACGUCCAUAAUAGUAAGCUCCAGCGCUGCCAACCUCUCUCAAGCAAACAGAUCUGCUCUGGCAUACCACAGCGGCGAGACAGGCCGACAGCUGCGCAAUAUAGGAAUAUCUGCAUCGUCUACAACGUCGCGUUCUACAACUAAAACAAGUUCCAGUCCUUAUAGUCGUAGUGACGGCCAGCUGCGUCACACGAGCACAUCAACCUCCAACUACAACACUAGCGCCAGCGACAUGCCCGCGUACCUCAGAGGCUUCGAUUCCUCACUGCAUAACAGGAAAGAUGAUGAAAGUCGGCGUCGUCGCAAGCGUUCGGGGGAGGGCGCGGGGGGCGAGCGGGAGGGCGCGGAGGGUACUGAAGGCACAGACAGCGACAGCGACAGCGCGCGCAGCCUCGACCUCGCCUCCAGCCAUUCCAGCGACGACGACGAGACCAGCACGCGCCGUUCCAGUCAUCCGCCCUCAGCUAACAGAGAGCGUAACGGCAGCAGCAGCAACGGAGGCAGCUAUCUUCCAAACAUAACGGAAGGCGCGCCCCUCGGCACUGCGCCUCGCUGGCCGUCACAUAUCAGAGAAGAAGGGAAUCGUCCGGACAUGGGCCGCUGGUCCCAGGAGACGGGCUCUGAGCAGGAUGCGCUGAGUGCUGCGUCACCGUCGCCUAACCCUCUGCCCAACCCACUGCCCGCGCAGCUGCCGCCAGACCUCACCUCGGGCGUCUACCUUGGCCGCCAUCGCCUCAAGCCCUCCAUACUAGAGAAUGUCCAUGACACUUACGUUGCGAGUGUUGAUGCCUCGCGACUCCCUCUUGACAACAGAUACGGUGCUAUGGACGAGGAGCUGAUGUACGGCGUAUUACCCAAUGAUACGGAGAAACAAAUCCCUUACGACCCCAACUACCCGAUGUCGCCUACAAUGUACAGACUGCCACAAAACCCUUACGGCUCCAAAACUUAUCUACCCGCCUCAAGAACUUCAGAAUACGGCUACAGUCCAACAAAGUAUUUAAACGGUGACCCUAAUGUAUACGGUUCAAGGGAUUUCCGGGACUCAGGAGUGACCACAAGGGAUCAUGAUGGUUACCCUUCGCGAGAUUUCAGGGACUCCGGCAUAGCGACUAUGUUGAAAAACGAUUAUCAAAGAAAGAUGGAAAGUCACUACGGCGGGGACUACAAUGACAGGAUGUCAGAGGGAUCGGACAAACUUCACACACAUGAUAAAUAUCUGUUCCCUUACACGGCGGAGGAAGAUCACAUAGGUAUGCGCGAGGGGGCGCAUGCGUCGCACGCGCGCCUCAACACACAGACAGGUGAAAAUCAACAACAGAUGGCGCCACUUGCAACUAUGGGAGAGACUAGCGAAUGGUGGCGGUUAUAUGAGAAAAAUUCAUUAUAAAUCAUCUUUUGCUUUGCUAACUGGUGGUGUUGCCGUGCGCAAAAUCAUCUGCAACCAUCGUAGGGAUGAGGAAAUCUACUACUGAAGACGACGCAGAAACCCGAGUAUGAAGACAACAUAGUACAAGAUUUCCAAUGAAUCUCAAUUAGUUAAUUUAUUUAAUUUCGUUGUAUUGUAGUUUGGAUAUUAUCAACUAAAUAGCUCUUAUGAAUUUCUAUAAAGACUGUCACAACUCGAUACCCACUGCCAUAGCGUAGCAAAUAACGGCUAUUUAUUAUUGUCUAUGCUUUAAAUAGAUUUAAGAUGGAUUUAGUUUUAAUUGUAAUCAAGUGUGUUUAUAAUUUUUCAUAUAAAUUGUUAAUGUAACCGUGGCUUUACACUGUGGAAACAACUGUGAAACAUAUUUUCAUCUCUUUCAUUCCCUUUAGUAUAACAGAGAUGACUGUAUAUUUCUGUACAGGUGUUUCAAAAGGAAGCUCACAACAGGCUUUUUUUAAUCGGAUUUGAUUUUAAAAUUAAGAAUAAAAAUCUUUUUAAUUAUACAAUUGAGACAAGAGUAGAAUAGGUACAAUUAGAUUCACUCGGCAUCGCGACAACUGCACGGCAACUAACCGUUAUUUAUCGGAAUAUUUAAAUGGACGUAAGUUGGAUUAAACGCCGUCUGAAUCUAAUGACCAUACAACACUAACGAGUUAUCAUUAAAAUGAUCGGAUGCUGUGUAAACUUAAUAAAUUGUCAUUUGCAUUUAUUAUAAUUAAUUUAAAAAUAAGAAUUGUACUCUUGCAAAGUACUAAGCUCAUUUCAUGACGUUUUACGCAUGGCAUAUUUGAAUACACUUUAAUCCGGGUGUUGUGCAAAGAUUAAAUGUAAUUCAUUAGGAAAAUGACAUCCAAAGGCAGUCAUGUAAAUAAAUUAGCAGUUUAAUAGCUUUAUUUUGUAAAAGUAAAUUAAUGCAAGAUGUUAAACAAUUUAUUUUUAUAUAAGAGAAACCAAAUCUAUCAACUGAAUAGCUAUUCGAUGUUCUAUGAUAAAUUUAGUGCAUUAAUAUAGAAAAUAAAUUGAAGUUGUAUGAGAUGAUAGUUUUCAGAAAAAAAUAGUAUUGUAAAUAGUUGAUUUUAAACGAGUGUUUGUGUGCAUUUUGUGCGUUUUAACGAAGAGUCCACCUAUUUUGUAAAUAUAAUAGAAUUUUUACACUUCGUAGUUUUUAUUUAAUUAGUUUCAUAGGGAACUCAAAGCUUAAAAAGGCUUUGUUAUCUAAAUAUUUCCCAAUAUUGCCAUAUUGUUUUCAAAUAUUGCACCAAUAGACAAAGUUUUCUAAAAAAUAAAAUUUUAAAAAUAUUCUCAUUUUUAGUCCUUAACAAAGAAACUUGUUUUAACGAAAAUAUUUAUUAUCAAACAUAAAAAUGACAAUUGAUGUAAAAUCAAAUGUUUGCUCAGAAUUUCGCACUAGGCGUACGAUUUAGUAAAUAAGUUGGAUAAUAUGCUUUGAAAUCCAAUGCAACACGCAAAUUUUGGCUCAUUUCAAUAUAUACAUUCCGCUUCGUGAUAAACUCUAUCGUAGAUACCUCUUUUUGGAAUUGUAUAGUAUUCCUGUACAUCUAAAGUGUUUUAUAUUGAAAUAAAAUAUUUUAUUGCUAAAUU